CCUGACUCUUCCAUCUCCAUCCUUCAUGCUUAAAGGAUCCUGGUGAUUACAUUGGACCCUCCCGUACAAUCUAGGAUACAUUUUUAACCUUAAGGUCUUCAAGGGAUCACCACACUGUCUUCCACAAUGGUUGAACUAAUUUUCACCCCCACCAAUGAUGCUACCAUUGAAUUUAAUUAUGAUGCUGUCUUCAACAUGGAAGUUACAUAAGAAAAUCUGAAGCCAUUGUGUAUUUCAGCUAGGCUUCUUCUUAGGAAAUAGAGGUCAGCCUAGUGCAGUGAAGUCUGAUUGGAGGUGGACAAUGAGGAUCCUGCCAAGGUGCUGUCCUUAGCUUCUGUUCAGCCUAAUGUAAGUUCAUUCCUUUUGAUUACAGUCAUUUCAAUGACUUUUUUUGCCCAUAAAAUUAUGACCACAUAA
rnacentral:lncRNA from 1 species